UCUCCCCUGAGUGACCAACUUCUUGUCUGGUCUGUAAUUGGGCGUUUCUCUGGCACUCUGUUUUAAAGCUGGACAAAUUCCUGGUGAGCUAAGAUGAGAUGGUCACCCCGCCCUGUGUGAGGGGGCUUCUCAGCUGGGCUAAGUCAGAGGGAUGGAUGUUGUGAACAGCCAAUGGCGGUUGCCUCGCUGAAAGACUGCAGAUACAUCAUGACCAGCCAGCCUCAUGAUUCCAAACCACGAUGGAAUGGAUCCUUUUCAACUCUAAGCCGGAGCAAACGCUUUCUUCCUGGAAUUGUUUCUUGACUGGUAUUGUAUCGGUAGUGUGAAAAGCAGUUAAUAUAAAUAGGUCAAAUAGGCCAAAAUAGCAGCCAACAUGUAGAUAGCAAUCCCUUUACAACAGGGUGUGCUUCUCCUGCCCCAUGCUACUUUCUUAGCACUUUGUAGCCAACUCAGGGGAUUCACUGUCUGUGGAUUCCUGGGCAUUGAUUCGUUUGAUAUUUAUCUGUUCAGCUUACAAUUAUUUUGCAUUUUUGUUCAUGUCAGAGUUGCUCUUGAAACCUUACAGCCAUUCAUCCUUAUGUGUCAUGCUCAGCUGUGAUUACUUCUCAGAUGAUUUAGCUCUCAGCAGCUCAACUUUCUGCAACUCAAUGAAAAUGCCUUGCAGGGUGGUUGGAAUUGCCAAUUCAGCUUUUAGGUAAACCAAUAAUUCAGUGUGUGUGUGUGUGUGUACGUGUGUGUGUGUGUGUGUGUGUGUGUGUGUGUGUGUGUGUGUGAUGUGUGUAUUUGUGAGUGUGCAUUCAUCUGUGUGAGUGUGGGUAUCUAUAUGCUACACCACGUAUAUGAAGGUUGAAGGAUCACUUAGACAUAAGUUCUCACCUUCAACCCUUUUUGAGACAGGAUCUCUUUGUCAUCCGCCAGUGUGAGCAAUGCCUACACAGCCUGUGAGCCUCCAGACUCUCUCCUGUCUUCCCAAUUUUCUCUAGGGUUUCUGCGGUUCCAGAUGCAUGCUGCCACAUCUGGCUUUACAUGGGUUCUGGAGAUCUAGACUUGGGUCCACGUGCUUGUGUGGCAAGAGUUUUAUCUACUGUGCUACCCUCACAAUGCAAUAUUGAAUAUUGUGAUGAGAUACUGAUUAUUUUACACUUAGGAUGAUUUAGAGCUAUCAAUCAAGUAUGUAGACUGUGUGUGAAGCAUUGCGCUGAUAUAUUACGUAACAUUAGUAAUAUUUGCUAAAUGCUCAGACAGGCUGUGGGCUUUGUCUUAUUACCUCACUCAGCCCUCAACAGUCUCGUGGAGAACACAUUAUUCUGGUUUUGAAAUGAGACUCUGAAGCACAAGCACAUGCCUGGACUCAGAGCUAGUACCUAAAUUCGAGCAUCCCUGUGAAUUAUCUUGUGUUGCCUUCAUAACUGUCCUAAGAGGUCUAUGUUACAAAUAAUCUGUAACAGGCUGCUGUCGUUGUAGAUAGUGUUAGAAUCUAAGGCUUUGAGAAGGCUGUCACUGACUUUUAUCUGUAGCCGAAUAGGGCAUCUCCAAGACAGAUACUUAUCCUCAAUUACUGUAGUGAACACAGUGACCAAAAACAAGCCAGGAGAAAGGCUUUAUCUCAUCUUAGAGCUACACUCCAUCAUGAAGGAAAGUCAAGGUGAGGACCCAAGGCAAGAACUUGGAGGCAGGGACUGAAGUAGAGGCCAUGGAGGAACACGAGGCUGGCUUGCUUCUUGUGGCUCACUCAGCUUGUUUUCUUUUACAGUCCAGGUUCACUUACUAAGGUGUGACACUGCCCACAGUAGACUGGGCCCAACCACAUCAAUCAGUAAUGAAGAAAAUGCCCCAUAGACUUGUCUAUAUAGGCCAGUCUGAUGAAGCCAUUUUCUCAGUUGAAGUUCCCUUCUUUCAAGUAACUUUAGCUUGUGUCAAGUUGACAAAAAAACAAAACAAAACAAAACCAAAAACAACAAAAACCCCCAGAGGUAACCAGUAGAACAGACAACUAUUCAUUGAAGCUUCUAGCACAUAAAAUUCACAGAUUUUGGUAUGGUCCUAUGUGCUCUUUGAUAGCAGUCAUUAAAUUGAAUAUAUUCUGUAAUUAUUAUGAAGCAUGUGGAAUUAUAAAUACAGCCCACCUCUGAGCCUUAUAGCAAUAUGUUCACCAACUGGCACCGUGUUCUCAGGCUCCUGCUAGGUCAUUUCAGUCUCUGGGUUAGACGUGUCUACAGACUAAAUUUGGAUGGAAAGAAGAGAAAGGAAGAAAUUCCUCUUUGGGCUAGCCUACUUCACCAAAGCCCCAGUGGUACAAAAUUUCCUAAUGUGCUUGUGAGAUCUGACAAUGAGGCCCUAUAGUUUAAAAAAUAAUCUACUCUCUUGGAAGAUGGGGGACCCAGGAGCAGCCUCUCCUGGGUCCAUAUGAAAAAAAAACAAACCACGAGAAUCCCUUUGACUGAGAUUAGUCAUAUAAAGUCCAUUAACCAGUCAUCCAGGGCUUCCAUAAUUGCAGUUUUAAGUUAGGAAGAAAAGGAGUUCUUGCGACUCUGUGAGCUGUCCAGGGUUCUGACCUGUACACAGCACUGCAUUCUCUUUCUUGACCUUAGUCUUCACAUAGCAUAUUGCAUUAGACGCUGAAUUCUUUGGAUAUAGUUUGUGAUCAUUGAUCCUGGAAGACAUUUUUAGCUCACCUUUAUCUUUAUUGAUCCAGAUUUCUGUCAAUAGAAUACAGUAUCUUACCAGAAAAUCAAUUCUAUGGUCUCAAGACUUAUAUGGGAGGGGAUCACUAAGCAUAGGGUCAGGUAUAUGACAUAGACCUUAGUGGCAUCUGCCUUAGGCAUGUAACUUUAAAGAAGUCUUUGAAUUUUUCAGAAAUCUGGUUUUCUUGCCCUCCUUGGACAAUAAGAUGUGGAAAUGAUGGAAAUACAGCACAAAUUCUGAAACAUGUGAGGGGAAAAUCCCUGUCUUCAAAGUAAGCAUGGGGGUGGGGUGGCACAGUGGAAGCCAGACUGGACCAUAAUGGCUGCAUCUACACCCAGAUUCAGUGCUUUAAGUGAGUUCACUCCAACAUCUACCCCAUCUGUGAACUGCUGGAACAUGUAAAGGAGCUCGUCCUGGAGAACCAGAGCUGCAGGAUCACCAUGACCCUGGCAACAGCAGGCAAUUUGAAAUGAGUCUCAGCAAUGGUCCAGUAUUUAUGGUGCUUCAGAAACCAGAAACCUUGAACCAGGCCAACAGUUCAUUGCAAUGAAUACCUGCAUGCAAUAUCCCUCUGGCAAGUAUAUGUGUGACACAUGAUGCCACUAUGAUGAACAAGUAUUCAGUGGAGAGGUGGGAAAGUAGAGGAAUAGAGUAGUGAGGGAGCAGUGAAGAAAGGUGGAACCAGACACAUGUUGGUAGUGACAGGUGUGAAAGAAGUCUGCAAUGGACAGGGGACCAUGUCAUUGUCAAGUAGGGUUGACAGGUGGUGUGGCACAGCAUGGAACUUGCACUCUGACUCAGCCCUCAAACACAAUUCCCAGCCACAUGAUCACUCUUGUUCUGAGCAACAAUGGGAUGUCCAAGAUGAAUAACAGAUCAUUUUCUGGAUUGGACCUCCUCAAAAAACCUCUAUGCUACCCUUGGAGCAUCCAUGGUCCACUGUCCCAGACCACAAUGAAGCACAAGGUUUAUGUGGAUGUUCCUGGUACUACAGCAGCCAGGAGCUGUGUUAAUGUCCCUAGUUUCAGCUACUAUUGAAAGCCACACAUAUGUCCUUGGACUGGGCCACCACCUGAAGCCAUGCUGCUGUCUGACUCCAUGCUGAUGUCAAUGGCCUGAAUUGCUGCCUAAGGCCAUGGUGAUGUCUGGAUCCAUGAUCCUAUUGCAACUGGGAUCUGUAUUAAUGUCUACAGCCCAUGUUACCAUCAAAGGAUGGCAACAUGCGGAUGACUAUGGUGAUCUAACUCUGAAGCCAUAUUGAUGUCCAUGGGCUGUGCUGCCACUGGGGGCCAUGCUGCUGUUGUUGGGGCCCACAUUGAUCUCAGCGGCCUUCACUGCCAACUGAGGCCAUGGUGAUGUCUGGGUCCACACUGCUACUGAGGACCAUGUCUGGGUCUGUGUUGCUGCUGUAGUGGAGGGUCAUGUCGAUGUCUAUGAUCUGAACUGCUACCAGAGACCAUCUGAAUGUCUGUAGUCUGUUUUGUCUCCAGAAACCAUGGAGAAGUCCAUGAUCCAUACUCCUGAUGAUUGUAAAGGUCAAGGAAGCCACUUUUGCUGUGGUGUUGUUGACUGUUGAAGAACACAGAAGGCCUAUGUGACAAUCCCAAACCCCCUCUUCUGAAAGUAACAGCUUAGAUAACUUAGAAAGUCAUUGGAAAGAAAUCUUAAAACUUGUAGUAAGGAAUCUGGAGUGUAGCUCUUCACAACUGAUGGCUUCUGACAGGGGUGCAGAUGGCGAAGGACUCAGUUUUUUUUAUGCGGCUGGCCACUGGGAGUUUGACCAUGCUCCAGUGAGAGAGCAUAUGAGUGAUGCAAAGUCAAAUUGUUUUCUUUUCUCUCUUCCUCCUCCACCUCCUCAUCCUCUUCCUCCUCUCCCUCCUCCUCCUCCUUUUCCUCUUCAUUCUCUUCUUAUUUUGGGGUGAGUCUCAAGGGUUGGAGGUGAACCUGGGAAGACUUGGAGGAGAGUUUGCUUGGGGUUUAUGGUGUGAAAUUAAAAAAUAAUCAGCAAAAAUCUUAUGAAGGAAAAAUAGUAAGCACAAGACUGGAAGGCAAUCAUAGAAAGAAAAAUUGCCCACAUCACAUAUGCAAAUAGACUAAAAUGGGACAAAGUACUAAAUCUUACCUAAACCUAAAUCUAGAUCUUAAACUGUGAAAAUCUUAUAAAGAAACAUAAGUGCAUAUUAUGGUCUUAUGGCCUACACUUAUGCAACAAUGGCUAAUAUGGCCCCAAAUAAUUUAAACAAAAAAGAAAGGAAAAUUGAACAUUUAUGUUAAAAACAAUAAACACUUUUGUGCUACAAUGAACACCAUCAAGAAAAUUUUAAAAAUCCCGAAAACAGGAGGAAAAUAAAAAAAAAAAAAACAUGGAUCUUAAAAAGGAUUUAUAUUCAAAACAUAUAACAUCUCUUGUAAUUCAAUAAUAAAAGGACAACCCAACUCAAGAACAGGCAGCGAUUCUGCACAGACAUUUUGCCAAAGAAAAUAUGCAAAUGGCUAAUGAACACAUGAAAAGAUGCUCAACAUCAACUGCCAGGGAAAGGCAGUCAGAACCACAAUGUGAUAAGAGUUCUGUUUUCAUCAUUGGCCUCGUCACUGUGCUGAAAUGUCUGGUGCAAGCAAUGUAAGGAAGGAAGCUUUGUUCCGACAUCAUUCUAAGGGUUACUGACCGUCAUGGCAGGGAAGAUGUGACAGCAGGGCAGGGGGUGACUGGUCACAUGUGCCCAUAGUCAGGAGGCAGAGAAAGAUGAACGUCUGCAUGCCCCACUCUCCUAUCUCCUUCUUACACAGCCCAAGACCUCAGCCCAUGGAGUGUAUCACCCACGGACAUGCCAGAGGUUUCUUUCCACGAUGAUUCUAAAAACCAUCAAGUUGACAAUCAAGAAUAACUAUGACUGGGGCUGGGGAUUUAGCUCAGUGGUAGAGCGCUUACCUAGGAAGCGCAAGGCCCUGGGUUCGGUCCCCAGCUCCGAAAAAAUGAACCAAAAAAAAAAAAAAAGAAUAACUAUGACUGGAUCCUGGCACACAGUUCCCUGCUCCCAAACCCCGUGGGAGAGAGAGCUCAUCGCCCAGACAUGUGGACAAUCCUGAGACUGCAGGGCAGGAGAGACCGCCACUUCUGCCCACCUUUGUCCACAUCCCUGGCCCAAGAGGAAACUGUAUAGGGCCUCUGGGAAUAGGAAGAUAGGGGCAGUCAAGCUGCAGGAGCCCUGCAGUUCAGACUGCGCCUGGAUCUGAAUGGACCUGGUCAAACAGCUCCCUGCACCCAAAUCCCAUGGGAGGGAGAGCUAGACCUUCAUGGGGCAGACAUGCCUGGAAAAUCAGAGGAGACUACUCUCUGCCCACAUUUCUGACUCUAGAGGAAAAUGCCUAGCAUCAUCUGGGUCCCCUGUGCACAGGGACCCAGGAGAAGGAGGGGCAGGCCAUUCUGGUUGCUGACCUCACAAAGACCUGAAACCCAGCCCUGAGAAGCAACUUCAGGCUUGAGACCAGCAGUAAGACCAAUUUUUCUGCUCCAAGUGACCUGCAUGGGUGAACUCAGGACACACAAAGGCAAAAUUCCUCUGGGACCAGAUACUUCUGGUUUCUAGCUGGCGCCCGAACCUCACUGAUCCCGGCCCACAGCUCCCUGCUCCCAAACCCUGUGGAAGAGAGAGCUCAUCACCCAGACAUGUGGGCAAUCCUGAGACUGCUGGGCAGGAGAGAUCACCACUUCUGUCCACCUUUGCCCACAUCCCUAGUCCCAGAGUAAACUCUAUAAGGCCUUUGGGAACAGGAAGAUAGGGGCACUCUCUGCCCACAUUUCUGACACUAGAGGAAAACAACUAGCACUAUCAGGGUCCCCUGUGCACAGGGACCCAGAAGUAGGGGCAGGCCCUUGUGGUUGCUGACCUCACAGAGAGCUGAAACCCAGCCCUGAGGAAUGACUUCAGGAUUGAGUCCAGAGGUAAGACCCACUUUUCUGCUCCAAGUGACCUGCCUGGUGAACUCAGGACACACGCCACAGGAACAGCUGAAAGUCAGUGGACAGGAAUGACUACACGCCUGAAAGCAGAACACUCUGUUCCCAUAACUGGGUGAAAGAAAACAGGUCUAGAGCACUCCUGAAACACAGACCUAUAGGACAGUCAAGCCACUGUCAGAAAUAGCAGAACAAGGUAACACCAGAGACAACCUGAUAGCAAGAGGCAAAUGCAGGAACCCAAGCAACAGAAACCAAGACUACAUGGCAUCAUCAGAGCCCAAUUCUCAUACCAAAGCAAACACAGAAUAUCCAAACACACCAGAAAAGCAAGGUCUAGAUUUAAAAUCACAUUUGAUCAUGAUGAUGGAGGACUUUAAGAAAGACAUAAAGAACUCCCUUAGAGAAAUGCAGGAAAACACAAGUAAACAGGUUGAAGCCCUUAGAGAGGAAACACAAAAAUCCCUGAAAGAAUUACAGGAAAACACAAUCAAACAGGUGAAGGAAUUGAAAACAGAAAUAGAAACAAUAAAGAAAGCACAAAGGGAGACAACCCUGGAUACAGAAAAUCAAAGGAAAAGACAAAGCCAUAGAUACAAGCAUCACCAACAGAAUACAAGAGAUAGAAGAGAGAACCUCAGGAGCAGAAGAUUCCAUAGAAAUUAUCAACACAACUAGCAAAGAUAAUGUAAAACAGAAAAAGCUACUGGCCCACAACAUACAGGUCAAAUGGGAUCUCAUAAAACUACAGUUUCUGUAAUGCAAAAGACAUUGUUGUUAGGACAAAAUGGCAACCAACAGAUUGGGAAAAGAUCUUUACCAAUCCUACAGCUGAUAGAGGGCUUAUAUCCAAAAUAAACAAAGAACUCAUGAAGUUAGACUGCAGGGAGACAAAUAACCCUAUUAAAAAUGGGGUUCAGAGCUAAACAAAGAAUUCACAGCUGAGGAAUGUCAAAUGGCUGAGAAGCAUCUAAAGAAAUGUUCAACAUCUUUAGUCAUAAGGGAAAUGCAAAUCAAAACAACCUUGAGAUUCCACCUCACAUCAGUCAGAAUGGCUAAGACCAAAAACUCCAGCGAUAACAGAUGCUGGUGAGGAUGUGGAGAAAGAACACUCCUCCAUUGUUGGUGGGAUUGCAGACUGGAACAACCAUUCUGGAAAUCAGUCUGGAGGUUCCUCAGAAAAUUGGACAUUGCACACCUGAGGACCCAGCUAUACCUCUCUUGGGCAUAUACCCAAAAGAUGCUCCAACAUAUAACAAAGACACAUGCUCCACUGUGUUCAUAGCAGCCUUAUUUAUAAUAGCCAGAAGCUGGAAAGAAACCAGAUGCCCUUUAACAGACGAAUGGAUACAGAAAAUGUGGUACAUCUACACAAUGGAAUAUUACUCAGCUAUCAAAAACAAUGACUUUAUGAAAUUCAUAGGCAAAUGAAUGGAACUGGAAAAUAUCAUCCUGAGUGAAAUAACCCAAUCACAGAAAAACACACAUGGUAUGCACUCAUUGAUAAGUGGAUAUUAGCACAAAUACAUGAAUUACAUUAGAUGCAUAGAAUACAUGAAACUCAAGAAAGAUGACCAAACUGAGGAUGCGUCACUCCUUCUUUAAAAGGGGAAUAAGAAUACCCUUAGGAGAGGAUAGGAAAAGUUUAGAACAGAGGCAGAAGGAACACCCAUUCAGAGCCUGCCCCACAUGUGGCCCAUACAUAUACAGUCACCAAACUAGAUAAGAUGUAUGAAGCAAAGAAGUGCAGGCUGACAGGAACCGGAUGUAGAUCUCUCCCGAGAGACACAGCCAGAAUACAGCAAAUACAGAGGCGAAUGCCUGCAGCACAUCACUGAACUGAGAACGGUACCCCUGUUGAAGGAAUCAGAGAAAGGACUGAAAGAGCUGAAGGGGCUUUAGACCCCAUAUGAACAACAAUGCCAACCAACCAGAGCUUCUGGGCUCCAACCUCAUAGGUAGCAAUGAAUAGCCUGGUAAGGGCACCAGUGAAAGGGGAAUCCUUUGGUCCUGCCAAGGCUGGAUCCCCAGUGAACAGGAUUCUUGGGGGGAGGAUGGUAAUGGGAAGAGGAUGGGGAGGGGAACACCCAUGUAGAAGGGGAAGGGGAGGGGUUAGGGAGAUGUUGACCUGGAAACCGGGAAAGGGAAUAACAUUUGAAAUGUAAAUAAUAAAUACACAAUUUAAUAAAGAUGGAGAAAAGAGAAUGACUAUGACUACUCCAUACUCAUUGAAAUGGUUGCAAUUUUAAAAUGAAAUAUGAAGAAUGUGAAGAAAUUGCAACCUUCACACACUACCAAUAGGGUUGUGUAUUUUUGGCGAUGUGUAGGGAGUGUUUUUAAGCACACUGAUGGAAUGUAUCAAAAGAACACUUUUAUGAUUAUUAUUUGAUAUCUAGAAGAAGUGAAAUUCAAGAACUUCAUAGCCACAGAUGCUGUGGAGGUCCACCAUGACGGAAAUCCCUUGACCCUAGAUCAGCAGGGGUUGUCUAGAAUGUCUUUGAUUCUUCACCAUUGUGUCAGUCCUUUCUUGGGAUGAAGACCCAGCAGUGUGUCCAGGUGCUGGUCAGUUUCAAAUAACGAUUUCCCAUUCUUUCCAUUCUUGGUCUUUUGUCAGUUUUCUUUUAACUUUGCCAUCAAACAUUGUCUUUCAAUUUAAUAAUCUCUUGGUUUUUGAACAGGAAUGACCCCUUUGGUUUUCAUCCUAUUUGUUUCUUUAAAAGAUUUAGUUUUAUAUUUAUGUGUGUGAGUGACGGCCUGUGUGUAGGUGUCCUCAGAGCCCAGAAGAGGGUGCCAAUCUCCCCAAAGCUGGAAUUACACACAGGUGACUGAAAGGCACCCUACCCUGGAAACAAAACCCAGGAUCUUUGUCCAAUCAGCAAGUGCCCUUAAUCACUGAGCCAUCCCUCUGGCCCAGCAAUGAUUUUCCCUUUAUUGAAUAUAAAAUUUGUCCUUAUAUAAUAUAGCCUGAUAAUAGUUUUCUCCUCCCUCUACUCAUCCCAAUUCCUCCCCACCUUCCCUCGUGUAGUGAUUUGAAUACCUUUCCCCCAUAUGUUCAUAGGCACUAAUGGCACUAUUAGGCCUUCUUUAAGUAGGUGUGGCUUUCUUGGGGGAAGUGUGCCACUGGGCGUGGGCUUUGAGCUUUCAAAUGCUCCAACCAGGCCCAGUGUCACUCUCUCUAUUCCUGCUGCCUGCUGAUCUAGAUGUAGGACAGUUGGCUCUUUCUCCAGCACCAUAUCUGCCUGAGUAACACCAUGCUUGUCUGUCUGCAUGCCACCAUACUUCCUGUCAUGAAGAUAAUGACCUAACCUCUGAGUUUUAAGCCAGCUCCAAUUUAAUGUUUUCCUUUAUAAAAGUUGUUAUAGCUGUGGUGUCUCUUCUUUGGAUCAAGAUGGGCUCCUUCCCCAGCACCAUGUCUACCUGGAUGCUGCCAUGCUUCCCACCAUGAUGACAAUGGCCCGAACCUCUGAAAAUGUCAAGAACCAAUUGGGGAACAGGACCUUAGCAUCAAACUGCUCCCUACAGGCAAGUAUGGCCUCAUACAAUAAAUUGAUCAAUGUUUCUUCUGUUUAUAUUUUGUAGAUUAAUUUGAUAAGUAUUGAUGUUUAAUUCUUCUUUAAAAAUCUGGUAGAAUUCUAUG